rnacentral:rRNA from 1 species
CAGCAGCCGCGGUAAUGCGAAGGGGGCUAGCGUUGUUCGGAUUUACUGGGCGUAAAGCGCACGUAGGCGGAAAUUUAAGUCAGGGGUGAAAUCCCGAGGCUCAACCUCGGAACUGCCUUUGAUACUGGGUUUCUUGAGUCCGGAAGAGGUGAGUGGAACUGCGAGUGUAGAGGUGAAAUUCGUAGAUAUUGGGAAGAACACCGGUGGCGAAGGCGGCGACCUGGUCCUUUACUGACGCUGAGGCGCGAAAGCGUGGGGAGCAAACAGGAUUAGAUACCCCAGUAGUCCCUGUCUCUUAUAC